AGAGUUUGAUCCUGGCUCAGGAUGAACGCUGGCGGCAUGCCUAAUACAUGCAAGUCGAACGAGAGGAAGGAAAGCUUGCUUUCCUGAAUCUAGUGGCGAACGGGUGAGUAACACGUAGGUAACCUGCCCAUGUGCCCGGGAUAACUUCUGGAAACGGAUGCUAAAACCGGAUAGGUAGCAGACAAGCAUUUGACUGCUAUUAAAGUGGCUAUGGCCAUGAACAUGGAUGGACCUGCGGUGCAUUAGCUAGUUGGUGAGGUAACGGCCCACCAAGGCGACGAUGCAUAGCCGGCCUGAGAGGGCGGACGGCCACAUUGGGACUGAGACACGGCCCAAACUCCUACGGGAGGCAGCAGUAGGGAAUUUUCGUCAAUGGGGGGAACCCUGAACGAGCAAUGCCGCGUGAGUGAGGAAGGUCUUCGGAUCGUAAAGCUCUGUUGUAAGAGAAAAACGGCACUCAUAGGGAAUGAUGAGUGAGUGAUGGUAUCUUACCAGAAAGUCACGGCUAACUACGUGCCAGCAGCCGCGGUAAUACGUAGGUGGCGAGCGUUAUCCGGAAUGAUUGGGCGUAAAGGGUGCGUAGGUGGCAGAUCAAGUCUGGAGUAAAAGGUAUGGGCUCAACCCGUACUGGCUCUGGAAACUGAUCAGCUAGAGAACAGAAGAGGACGGCGGAACUCCAUGUGUAGCGGUAAAAUGCGUAGAUAUAUGGAAGAACACCGGUGGCGAAGGCGGCCGUCUGGUCUGGAUACUGACACUGAAGCACGAAAGCGUGGGGAGCAAAUAGGAUUAGAUACCCUAGUAGUCCACGCCGUA
rnacentral:rRNA from 1 species